AUGUGCUCAUGCAAGCGAUUUCUAGAGCAGCAACUUGCUUGUUCCAAGGGCGCUGUUUCCUCACCCAUGUUUCGUCCUGCUCAAGGAAGAUCUUCAAAAAGGAUCCCACAGCGUGUUCACUGCUCAGUCAUGAACUUUGUUCCUGCAGUGGUGCUUAUGAUAUUUUUUCCCCUGUGGGGAACCAGAGCCCAGUCAGUGACCCAGCCUGAUGUCCACGUCGCUGUCCCUGAAGGAGCCCAUCUGGAGCUGAGGUGCAACUAUUCAUCUUCUGUCCCGUCGUAUCUCUUCUGGUACGUGCAGUACCCCAACCAAGGACUCCAGCUCCUUCUGAAGUACUCGUUUGGAAUCAGUCUUGUUACAGGCAUCAAAAAUUUUGAGGCUGAAUUUAGGAAAAGUGAAACCUCCUUCCACCUGAAGAAAACCUCAGCCCAUCUGAGCAACUCUGCUGGGUACUUCUGUACCCUGAGUGACAGUGCUGGCACUGCAGGGGGAGCUGAACACAAACUUCUGGUGACUGUGAGGCUGCUGUGGCUCAAAGGCUCAACCUAG